GAUGAACGCUGGCGGCGUGCCUAAUACAUGCAAGUCGAGCGAACGGACGAGAAGCUUGCUCCUCUGAUGUUAGCGGCGGACGGGUGAGUAACACGUGGAUAACCUACCUAUAAGACUGGGAUAACUUCGGGAAACCGGAGCUAAUACCGGAUAAUAUUUUGAACCGCAUGGUUCAAAAGUGAAAGACGGUCUUGCUGUCACUUAUAGAUGGAUCUGCGCUGCAUUAGCUAGUUGGUAAGGUAACGGCUUACCAAGGCAACGAUGCAUAGCCGACCUGAGAGGGGGAUCGGCCACACUGGAACUGAGACACGGUCCAGACUCCUACGGGAGGCAGCAGUAGGGAAUCUUCCGCAAUGGGCGAAAGCCUGACGGAGCAACGCCGCGUGAGUGAUGAAGGUCUUCGGAUCGUAAAACUCUGUUAUUAGGGAAGAACAUAUGUGUAAGUAACUGUGCACAUCUUGACGGUACCUAAUCAGAAAGCCACGGCUAACUACGUG
rnacentral:rRNA from 1 species